AUUGAACGCUGGCGGCAUGCCUAACACAUGCAAGUCGAACGGCAGCACAGUAUGUAGCAAUACAUAUGGGUGGCGAGUGGCGGACGGGUGCGUAAUAUGUAGGGAUCUGCCCUGAAGCGGGGGACAACCCGGGGAAACCCGGGCUAAUACCGCAUAAUACUCUACGGGGGAAAUCUGGCACGCAAGUGCUGGGGCUUUAGGAUGAACCUACAUCCGAUUAGCUAGUUGGUGAGGUAAUAGCUCACCAAGGCAAUGAUCGGUAGCUGGUCUGAGAGGAUGACCAGCCACACUGGGACUGAGACACGGCCCAGACUCCUACGGGAGGCAGCAGUGGGGAAUAUUGGACAAUGGGGGAAACCCUGAUCCAGCAAUGCCGCGCGGGUGAAGAAGGCCUUCGGGUUGUAAAGCCCUUUAGGCGGGGAAGAAGGUUAUAGGGUGAUAAGCCUUAUAGCUUGACGGUACCCGCAGAAUAAGCACCGGCUAACUCUGUGCCAGCCGCCGCGGUAA
rnacentral:rRNA from 1 species